UACGUAGGGGGCAAGCGUUGUCCGGAUUUAUUGGGCGUAAAGAGCGUGUAGGCGGCCAUACAGGUCAGCUGUGAAAACUCGAGGCUCAACCUCGAGACGUCGGUUGAAACCGUAUGGCUAGAGUCCGGAAGAGGAGAGUGGAAUUCCCGGUGUAGCGGUGAAAUGCGCAGAUAUCGGGAAGAACACCUAUGGCGGAAGGCAGCUCUCUGGGACGGUACUGACGCUGAGGAGCGAAAGCGUGGGGAGCGAACAGG
rnacentral:rRNA from 1 species